GCUUCCAGGAAAAGCCUCUAAGCAUCAGGUAACAUCAAAUCGUACCCCAAACCGACACAGGUGGUCAGGUAGAGAAUACCAAGGCGCUUGAGAGAACUCGGGUGAAGGAACUAGGCAAAAUGGUGCCGUAACUUCGGGAGAAGGCACGCUGACACGUAGGUGAAGUGAUUUACUCAUGGAGCUGAAGUCAGUCGAAGAUACCAGCUGGCUGCAACUGUUUAUUAAAAACACAGCACUGUGCAAACACGAAAGUGGACGUAUACGGUGUGACGCCUGCCCGGUGCCGGAAGGUUAAUUGAUGGGGUCAGCGCAAGCGAAGCUCCUGAUCGAAGCCCCGGUAAACGGCGGCCGUAACUAUAACGGUCCUAAGGUAGCGAAAUUCCUUGUCGGGUAAGUUCCGACCUGCACGAAUGGCGUAAUGAUGGCCAGGCUGUCUCCACCCGAGACUCAGUGAAAUUGAACUCGCUGUGAAGAUGCAGUGUACCCGCGGCAAGACGGAAAGACCCCGUGAACCUUUACUAUAGCUUGACACUGAACAUUGAGCCUUGAUGUGUAGGAUAGGUGGGAGGCUUUGAAGUGUGGACGCCAGUCUGCAUGGAGCCGACCUUGAAAUACCACCCUUUAAUGUUUGAUGUUCUAACGUGGACCCGUUACCCGGGUUGCGGACAGUGUCUGGUGGGUAGUUUGACUGGGGCGGUCUCCUCCUAAAGAGUAACGGAGGAGCACGAAGGUUGGCUAAUCCUGGUCGGACAUCAGGAGGUUAGUGCAAUGGCAUAAGCCAGCUUGACUGCGAGCGUGACGGCGCGAGCAGGUGCGAAAGCAGGUCAUAGUGAUCCGGUGGUUCUGAAUGGAAGGGCCAUCGCUCAACGGAUAAAAGGUACUCCGGGGAUAACAGGCUGAUACCGCCCAAGAGUUCAUAUCGACGGCGGUGUUUGGCACCUCGAUGUCGGCUCAUCACAUCCUGGGGCUGAAGUAGGUCCCAAGGGUAUGGCUGUUCGCCAUUUAAAGUGGUACGCGAGCUGGGUUUAGAACGUCGUGAGACAGUUCGGUCCCUAUCUGCCGUGGGCGCUGGAGAACUGAGGGGGGCUGCUCCUAGUACGAGAGGACCGGAGUGGACGCAUCACUGGUGUUCGGGUUGUCAUGCCAAUGGCACUGCCCGGUAGCUAAAUGCGGAAGAGAUAAGUGCUGAAAGCAUCUAAGCACGAAACUUGCCCCGAGAUGAGUUCUCCCUGAGACUUUAGGUCUCCUGAAGGAACGUUGAAGACGACGACGUUGAUAGGCCGGGUGUGUAAGCGCAGCGAUGCGUUGAGCUAACCGGUACUAAUGAACCGUGAGGCUUAACCUUACAACGCCGAAG
rnacentral:rRNA from 1 species